GACGAACGCUGGCGGCGUGCUUAACACAUGCAAGUCGAACGAUGAAAGAGAAUCCGAUCUCUUCGGAGUGAAGAAUUUCUGGAUUAGUGGCGGACGGGUGAGUAACGCGUGAGCAAUCUGCCUUACACAAAGGGAUAGCCUCGGGAAACCGGGAUUAAUACCAUAUGAUAUCUCAACUUCGCAUGAAGAUGAGAUUAAAGAAUUUCGGUGUAAGAUGAGCUCGCGUCCCAUUAAUUAGUUGGUGAGGGUAACGGCCCACCAAGAUAGCGAUGGGUAGCCGAUCUAAGAGGAUGACCGGCCACAUUGGAACUGAGAAACGGUCCAAACUCCUACGGGAGGCAGCAGUGGGGAAUAUUGCACAAUGGGGGAAACCCUGAUGCAGCGACGCCGCGUGAGCGAUGAAGGCUUUCGAGUCGUAAAGCUCUGUCCUAUGGGAAGAUAAUGACGGUACCAUAGAAGAAAGCCCCGGCUAAUUACGUGCCAGCCGCCGCGGUAA
rnacentral:rRNA from 2 species